rnacentral:rRNA from 1 species
AGCGAACGCUGGCGGCAGGCUUAACACAUGCAAGUCGAACGGGCGUAGCAAUACGUCAGUGGCAGACGGGUGAGUAACGCGUGGGAACGUACCUUUUGGUUCGGAACAGCCCAGGGAAACUUGGGCUAAUACCGGAUAAGCCCUUACGGGGAAAGGAUUUAUCGCCGAAACGAUCGGCCCGCGUCUGAUUAGCUAGUUGGUGAGGUAAUGGCUCACCAAGGCGACGAUCAGUAGCUGGCUGAGAGGAUGAUCAGCAUCACUGGGACUGAGGACACGGCCCAGACUCCUACGGGAGGGCAG